rnacentral:lncRNA from 1 species
ACUUCCGGGGACGGCUCGGCCCCGCUCCCUGGAGGCGCUGGUGCUCUCUGGCUCUCGGUGCGGUAGCGCCAUCUGGCGCCGAGUGUUCCCCGGCCUGCGGAGGGGCGCGCUUCCUCCCGUCAGAACCUUCCAGAGACACCGCGGCGGGGCCGCCGGGGCUCUGUCUCCCUUUCUCUGCAUCCUGCUUGCGGAUCAGAUGUGAGCUCUCAGCUACUGCUCUGGUGUCACACCUGCCUGCCUGCCACCGUGCCGCCUGCCAUGAUGAUCAUGGACACACCCUCUGAAACUGACUCCUUUUCAAGCAUUUUAACCCAAGUGAAGAUUAUGUCUUCCCUCCUUAGCGGCUUUGGAAAUCAGUUAUGGAGGGCUGGCUGCUGGCUGUGCACUCCGAUGCUCCUCAUUCUGCUGUGCUAGACUCAGCUGAAAUCCUUGCCUCCCGCCAAAGGAGCCAAAUGCAGCAUGAACAGUGACAUUUCUGCUCGCCAGGGAAACAUAAAGAAAUCGCAGUGAAGCAAGAAGGUAGACAAAAUUCUUUCCAGCAUUUGAACAAAAAGGAUAUAUUUUUUUCAUCUAAGUUUUAUGGAAGUCGAUUCGCCAACUCUCUGCUGGACUUUCAAACCUCCUUUUCUCUGUCCUACGUAAUUUAAACACACUAUAAAUACCCUUAGCUACUCUGAGGGUGGGCCCAUAUUUGCAAGGCAACCACGGUUUGAGAAUAUUGUUGAAUUUGAAAGGCAGCACUUCCUCGUCCGGCACAUAAACUCCAAUGAAGGUUAUGAUGAGUGUGCCGGUGGGGGCCACGUUUGACAGCAAGACAAGCAGCUCAUUUAUUCCAAAAGACUUUGAAUCCAUGCCCAGAGUCAAAUGUAGACUUUUAUAAAACCCAGGAGGCUUGAAAUAAAAAAGUUAACCCACUCACGGUGCCCUGCUUGUUAGGGAGUAGGAAGGCUUCAGAAUGAAGAGAGGGCUAAAGUGUUUGAACCUGACCGAUGACUUUAUGGGGUUCAGCCACGGUAUUUCCUAGCUUGUCUUGCGUGAAAGUCUAUAUUGCUUGUUGAAGGUUGAAAAUAUCAUCUCUUUAUGAAAAUCCCCAAUCAUGGGAAGAAAAUAUAGAAUGAAAAAAAUAAAAUGGGAUAUAGGAGGCCUGUGGGAUAAGGCUUAAAAAACCCCUGUGCAUCACUGAAUCAGUAAAUGAGCUAACAAGAGAGUUUUGUAGCCAGCAAGGGCCCCCUCCAUGGUUUCCACUCCAGGUCCCUGCUUCCCUUGAUGAUAGACCAUAACCUGUAAGUCGAAGCAGAAACCUGUCUUCCCAAGUCGCUCUUUGGUCAUGAUGUAUAUCACAGGAACAGAAAGCAAACUGUUAACAGUACAUGCUAGAUGUUAUAAGCCUAGUCAAAAGCUGGUGGCUGGGGAGGUCACAGACCUGAGGAGCCAUUCACUAUUACUGUUUUGCUAAGUAGACACGUGGUCCCAUUGCCUCCUAAACACUCGUGCUCACAUGCAAUGACUAGUGACGCUCUCACCCUGCAUCAGGGUGGCUUAUGGCAACAGGAGGUAGCUAAUGCAGAGACUCACACAUGGUCAAAGUGACCAGGAACACUACAGAAGACCAGGUCAGUAAGAACCUGAGAGCCAGAGGUUAGGGAUGCCUGCAUCUGAAAAGAUGUCCUCUGGACAAGAGCCGGCUGUUAUAGCCAUAAACUUGGUACAGGAGGUGGAGGAGUGCUCCUGAGACACUACUGACAGUGAAUCCCUCCCCGAGGGUGUACCAAAAGUUAAUAGUUGCUGUGGGUAACGCUUUGUGCUUCCGGGUGGUGUAGCCACCAAUGCAUCGCCCUUGUUCCAGUAACUAUCCUGCCAGCCAUACUUAUGCAAAUUCAAUGGCUCACACACAAAAAGAAGACCAAGUCAAAUUGAAGGGUACUUGCUGAGGAGUUCAAGCAGGAAGAAGAGAGGAGGUGUGAGGGUAGCAGGGAGUGAAAGGAUUAAAAUUGGUUAUAUAUGUAUAUGAAUGUCAAAGAAUAAAAAAUAAUUUUAAAAAAAUUC